rnacentral:rRNA from 1 species
GAUGAACGCUGACAGAAUGCUUAACACAUGCAAGUCAACUUGAACUUCGGUUUGGGUGGCGGACGGGUGAGUAACGCGUAAAGAACUUGCCUCACAGUUAGGGACAACAUUUGGAAACGAAUGCUAAUACCUGAUAUUAUGAUUUUAGGGCAUCCUAGAAUUAUGAAAGCUAUAUGCGUUGUGAGAGAGCUUUGCGUCCCAUUAGCUAGUUGGAGAGGUAACGGCUCACCAAGGCGAUGAUGGGUAGCCGGCCUGAGAGGGUGAACGGCCACAAGGGGACUGAGACACGGCCCUUACUCCUACGGGAGGCAGCAGUGGGGAAUAUUGGACAAUGGACCAAGAGUCUGAUCCAGCAAUUCUGUGUGCACGAUGAAGUUUUUCGGAAUGUAAAGUGCUUUCAGUUGGGAAGAAAAAAAUGACGGUACCAACAGAAGAAGUGACGGCUAAAUACGUG